rnacentral:misc_RNA from 1 species
UCCGGUUUGUCACCGGCAGUCUGGCGUGAGUCCCCAACUUAAUGCUGGCAACACGCCACGGGGGUUGCGCUCGUUGCGGGACUUAACCCAACAUCUCACGACACGAGCUGACGACAGCCAUGCAGCAUCUGUGGUGCACCCUCGAAGGUCACACGUUUCCGUGCGCUUGCAGCACCAUGUCAAGUCCAGGUAAGGUGGGGAUGACGUGUAACCGAAUCU